GACGGAGGGUGCAAGCGUUGUUCGGAAUUACUGGGCGUAAAGCGCGGGCAGGUGGCCCUUUAAGUCCUUUGUGAAAUUCCGGAGCUCAACUCCGGAUGUGCAUAGGAUACUGGAAGGCUAGAGACUGGUAGAGGCGAGCGGAAUUCCUGGUGUAGCGGUGGAAUGCGUAGAUAUCAGGAAGAACACCGGUGGCGAAGGCGGCAUUCUGGACCGAAACUGACGCUGAGACACGAAAGCCAGGGGAGCAAACGGG
rnacentral:rRNA from 1 species